rnacentral:rRNA from 1 species
UACGUAGGGGGCAAGCGUUGUCCGGAUUUAUUGGGCGUAAAGAGCGUGUAGGCGGCCUGACAGGUCUGUGUGAAAACUCGAGGCUCAAACCUCGAGAUGUCGGCGGAAACCGUCUGGCUAGAGUCCGGAAGAGGAGAGUGGAAUCCUGGUGUAGCGGUGAAAUGCGCAGAUAUCAGGAAGAACACCUAUGGGCGAAGGCAGCUCUCUGGGACGGUACUGACGCUGAGACGCGAAAGCGUGGGGAGCGAACAGG